UGCAAGUCGAACGGCAGCGCGGGGCAACCUGGCGGCGAGUGGCGAACGGGUGAGUAAUAUAUCGGAACGUACCCAAGAGUGGGGAUAACGUAGCGAAAGUUACGCUAAUACCGCAUACGAUCUAAGGAUGAAAGCAGGGGAUCUUCGGACCUUGUGCUCCUGGAGCGGCCGAUAUCUGAUUAGCUAGUUGGUGAGGUAAAGGCUCACCAAGGCCACGAUCAGUAGCUGGUCUGAGAGGACGACCAGCCACACUGGAACUGAGACACGGUCCAGACUCCUACGGGAGGCAGCAGUGGGGAAUUUUGGACAAUGGGCGAAAGCCUGAUCCAGCAAUGCCGCGUGAGUGAAGAAGGCCUUCGGGUUGUAAAGCUCUUUUGUCAGGGAAGAAACGGUGAGGGCUAAUAUCCCUCGCUAAUGACGGUACCUGAAGAAUAAGCACCGGCUAACUACGUGCCAGCAGCCGCGGUAAUACGUAGGGUGCAAGCGUUAAUCGGAAUUACUGGGCGUAAAGCGUGCGCAGGCGGUUUUGUAAGUCUGACGUGAAAUUCCCGGGCUCAACCUGGGAAUUGCGUUGGAGACUGCAAGGCUAGAAUCUGGCAGAGGGGGGUAGAAUUUCCCGUGUAGCAGUGAAAUGCGUAGAGAUGUGGAGGAACACCGAUGGCGAAGGCAGCCCCUGGUCAAGAUUGA
rnacentral:rRNA from 1 species